CACGUAGUUAGCCGGCGCUUCUUCUGCAGGUACCGUCACUUUCGCUUCGUCCCUGCUGAAAGGGGUUUACAACCCGAAGGCCUUCAUCCCCCACGCGGCGUCGCUGCGUCAGGCUUUCGCCCAUUGCGCAAUAUUCCCCACUGCUGCCUCCCGUAGGAGUCUGGGCCGUGUCUCAGUCCCAGUGUGGCCGGUCGCCCUCUCAGGCCGGCUACCCCGUCGUCGCCUUGGUAGGCCGUUACCCCACCAACAAGCUGGUAGGCCGCGAGCUCAUCCCUAGCCGAAAUUCUUUCCACCACAAAAGAUGUCUAAAGUGGUCGUAUCCGGUAUUAAUCCCGGUUUCCCGGAGCUAUCCCAGAGCUAGGGGCAGAUUACUCACGUGUUACUCACCCGUUCGCCGCUCGAGUACCCCGAAGGGCCUUUCCGCUCGACUUGCCAUGUGUUAAGCACGCCCGCCAGCGUUCGUCCUGAGCCAGAGUCAAACUCU
rnacentral:rRNA from 1 species